UACGUAGGGUGCAAGCGUUGUCCGGAAUUAUUGGGCGUAAAGCGCGCGCAGGCGGUCCUUUAAGUCUGAUGUGAAAGCCCACGGUCUCAACCGUGGAGGGUCAUUGGAAACUGGGGGACUUGAGUACAGAAGAGAAGAGUGGAAAUUCCACGUGUAGCGGUGAAAUGCGUAGAGAAUGUGGAGGAACACCAGUGCGAAGGCGACUCUUUGGUCGUGU
rnacentral:rRNA from 1 species